AACCGGUUCAGACCGGUUCAAACUGGGAGCUGCCCCCCCCAGGUCCUGGCGUCGCUGCUGCGGCCCCGGCGCGGCUACAAGAGCACCUUCAGGGCCUCGGAGCUGGAGCUGCAGCGCUCGGGGGCCCCCGGGACCCCCCCGGCCCCCCGGGAUCUGGUUUUCGGCAAGGUUUUCACCGACCACAUGCUGACGGUGGAGUGGGACAGGGAGGGGGGCUGGGGGCGCCCCCAGAUCCGCCCCUUCCAGGAGCUGCGGCUGCACCCCGCCUCCAGCGCCCUGCACUACGCCGUGGAGCUCUUCGAGGGGCUCAAGGCUUUUCGGGGCGACGACGACAAAAUUCGGCUUUUCCGGCCCGAGCUGAACGUGGAGAGGAUGCAGAGGUCGGCCCGCAGGGUCUGCCUGCCCGUGAGUG